rnacentral:rRNA from 1 species
UAGAGUUUGAUCAUGGCUCAGAUUGAACGCUGGCGGCAGGCCUAACACAUGCAAGUCGAGCGGAUGAAGAGAGCUUGCUCUCUGAUUUAGCGGCGGACGGGUGAGUAAUGCCUAGGAAUCUGCCUGAUAGUGGGGGAUAACGUUCCGAAAGGAACGCUAAUACCGCAUACGUCCUACGGGAGAAAGCAGGGGACCUUCGGGCCUUGCGCUAUCAGAUGAGCCUAGGUCGGAUUAGCUAGUUGGUGAGGUAAUGGCUCACCAAGGCUACGAUCCGUAACUGGUCUGAGAGGAUGAUCAGUCACACUGGAACUGAGACACGGUCCAGACUCCUACGGGAGGCAGCAGUGGGGAAUAUUGGACAAUGGGCGAAAGCCUGAUCCAGCCAUGCCGCGUGUGUAAAGAAGGUCUUCGGAUUGUAAAGCACUUUAAGUUGGAGGGAAGGGCAGUAAGUUAAUACCUUGCUGUUUUGACGUUACCGACAGAAUAAGCACCGGCUAACUUCGUGCCAGCAGCCGCGGUAAUCCAAGGUGCAAGCGUUAAUCGGAAUUACUGGGCGUAAAGCGCGCGUAGGUGGUUCGUUAAGUUGGAUGUGAAAGCCCCGGGCUCAACCUGGGAACUGCAUCAAAACUGGCGAGCUAGAGUCCGGGAUAGGGUGGGUGGAAUUUCCUG